UGGGAGGAGUCAUUUGGUGGUUUUUGAGUGAAAUCUAAUUCCCAGAACUAUACAAUACACCAACCACUACAUUUCGAAACGACCUUCGCACAAACUUGAAUUGUCCGAUUUCAAUAACCAAUCGAUAUCGGAUUGAGUCCAAGACUGGGGGAACUUCAUAAUAUUCUGGGAGGGGUCAUUUGGUGGGUUUUGAGUGAAAUCUAAUACCUAGAACUAUACAAUACACCAACCACUCCAUUUCAUAACGAAUUUGGAACGAAC
rnacentral:lncRNA from 1 species